rnacentral:rRNA from 1 species
GAUCAUGGCUCAGGAUGAACGCUGGCGGCGUGCUUAACACAUGCAAGUCGAACGAAGCACUUUAUUUGAUUUCCUUCGGGACUGAUUAUUUUGUGACUGAGUGGCGGGACGGGGUGAGUAACGCGUGGGUAACCUGCCUUGUACAGGGGGAUAACAGUUGGAAACGGCUGCUAAUACCGCAUAAGCGCACAGCAUCGCAUGAUGCAGUGUGAAAAACUCCGGUGGUAUAAGAUGG